rnacentral:tRNA from 1 species
CGGCCCUUAGUUCAACCGGAUAGAACGGAUCCCUCCUAAGGUUCAAAUGGGGGUUCGAGUCCCUCAGGGCCGG